CAGCGCCACAAGUGGCAAUCGGUUUUAUUGGGCCUAAAGCGUCCGUAGCCGGUCAUGUAAAUCUUUUGUGAAAUUGUUGGGCUCAACCUAACGAAUGGCAGGAGACACUGCAUGACUUGAGAUCGGGAGGAGUCAGAGGUAUUCAGGGGGGAGCGGUAAAAUGCAUUAAUCCCUUGAGGACCACCUAUGGCGAAGGCAUCUGACCAGAACGAAUCUGACGGUGAGGGACGAAAGCUAGGGGAGCGAACCGGAUUAGAUACCCGUGUAGUCC
rnacentral:rRNA from 1 species